rnacentral:lncRNA from 1 species
ACCGAUGAGUCGACGAAGAUGACGAAGAAACCAUCGGAGUUCCAACGGCGUGCGACAGUGUUGUCGUUUCCUGCCGAGCGAGACAGCCCCAGCUUCACCUACCCGACGAGCCCAAAGCCUCAGCCAGAGGUUGACACGGCGAGCAAUGAAAGCUCGGAACUUAAUCUAAUAAGAGUGCUCGAGUUUAAAUUACCAUCAUUUUACACUAUAUUUGAUACGAUGACUAUUUUAUCCGGACUAUACUACUAAGAUGAUACUUGGAUCCUAAUUAGUUUGAUUCGUAUCAAAAUAGACUAACCUCAUCCGCCAUCUCAACAUCUAGCCUUUAUUCAGAAUAUUCCAUCAAUUAAAUGUGGCACAAAAAAUCUUUCCUAACCAUUUGCGACUGCAGUUUAACUCAUCAUAAAUGAGCCUCCUACUUAGGUACCCAACAAGUUGUACACAUCAUCAAAGAGACUUUUUUUCGGGUACGCCACGCCACAUGUAUUAGUUUUGUACCAACUCUGCACUACUAAAAUCCUUGAAAGAUAAGUCUGGUCGGAUUAGACUUAUUUCUUGAGUUCACAAUCAAAAUCAAAAUUAUGGAAAAUUGCAGCAUAAAUAUAAGACAAAACUCUGUAGAGUUGUGUUCUUCGUAGAAAAUAUCAGUAAGCAUCUUGUCCCGUUCAUGGCGUUCUAAUAUUGUGUCCCAUGUCUGAUCCAGAAGACAUUGCUAUCAAAAGAAAGCCAAGAUUGCUUGCACGUUAAGCCAAAAUGUUGGUGACAGAGACCCAAUUGCUCACAACAACAUCUAUAUCAAGACUUACGCCUAUGUGAGCAACAAUAAGAUUAUACGUAUAUAAUACAACUCAAAAUAGCACAAAGUUAAGCACUUAUAUAUAUAUUUAACCCAAAAAAGGAACAUAAGUGAAUUGGACGAUUAAACCGGUCCGAACCGGUCUAAUGUUUCUGAACCGGGCGGCCCAGACGUUCUUGCGCUCUCCCCAUCUUGGUUACCCGCGGCACGACGUCCGGGUCGACCGGAGGCCGGAUGCGAACCGGGCUUGGGCCGACGCUGACGCCUCUCUCGCUUCGGCAGUCCAGAAGCCCGUUACCUUUCCGCCGCGGUCCCGCGGGCUCGCCGCCCAUCGCCGCCGCGAACCGGUUGUGCUCCUCCUCGAUGAAGCGGAACUCGUCGUAGUUGGAGGCAGCGCUGGAGAAGUUUGCGGCGCUCGCGUGGUCGAACCCCUCGGCGGUCGUGACGCUCCACUCGACGCUCGCCUCGCUGGGCUGGUAGCACUCGCUCGGGGCGAUGGAUGGCGCUGCCGCCCCCUCGAGGCUCCGACGGAGCUGGAGGAUCCCGGCCGCCGCGCCGCUGCCAACGAAGCGGCGUCCUUCGAGCUCGUCGAGGGAAUCACGGCGGCGGUACGUCACAUGUGAAUAAUUUGAUAGAGUAGUAGUAACACAUGGCUUGAUGAGAAUCCUAUCUGAAGACUGUAACAGGGUCCUACAAAGGCGAGGUCACGAAGAAAAGAAGGAUAAGCUGACACGGAAAGAAAUAGUUCAAGCUGAUGUGCUUUUCCUGAUAUCACAAGGAAGAGCAGCCACGCUGUUCUGGAUCAUAGAGAGGUCCCCAUGGUUGGGGUUUGAUUAGAGGCAUCAGAUAAGGUUACUGCAACAUGUGAAAUCAAUUUUGUGGAUGCGAGUGAUGUUAGGGCUUCAGCUUCCUGUGUGGCAAAUUGAUGCCCAUAGCUUUAGCCAUAAUUUAGGGAAGAAGAUAAGAUGGUACUAUUCUGCACUGAUUUCUUUGAAGGCUUUCCAUGGGAAGAGACAGACAUCUCUCUCCUCUUGUCAUUGUUGUGUUUUGGGUGAUGAUAUGUUAGCUGUUCUUUUAUAGGGUGCUAGAUAUGAAUGUGUAGGCCAAUUAAUGCACUUUUCCCAACCUAAAGUGCAGAAGAAGACACCAGGUUAGGGUGGUAGGGGACUCAUAUACGAUAAUGGAUUGGAGGUGUUCCUUUGAUCUCUCUUUUUUUUUUUCUUAAGUUCUUUAUUGUUUUAUUAGGUUAGGUUCUUUCAAGAAAGAGGACUGCCAUAUAGGUGAUUUACAUAAACAUGGAUGUGCUGAAUAAAAAUAUAGGACAUUUGAGGAUUCUACUUGUUUAUGGUAUUAUUAUCUCAUUUCUAAGAUUUCAUCUAUAAAUACAUGUUAAUGAUGAAUAAGUUUGAGGAUAACAAGAUACUUUUAUAUUCAAAAAACUAACAGUAGUUAUGCAAUUAUCCUUUUAAAUCUAAAUUUAAUAUAUAAGUAAAUUUUUAAAAAAAUUAUCACUUUAAGAAUUUUCAGCAGAGCAAUUCAACUUUGAAAAUACUUACGAAGCAUCUUUGGUCAUGUGAGAAAAAGACUAUUUACUCCUUGAACCCAUCAUCACUCUCUCUCUAUACCACCAAUUUGCACUACCUACGCUACCUCCGCCACUACCCUUGCUCCCUUACCAACCCCCAACAAUCACUUUCUAUCCUUUCGCCUUCAUCGAUUUCAUCACCCAUAGCCCUUGUGUGAGGAAGAAGGGGGGCAUCAGGGCCGAUGGGGUCAACCAACAAAGGUAGUGGCAACCCUUGCUCCCCCACCUUCCUUGUGAGAGGGUUACAAGCAAAGUGCACAGGGGGAAGGUCUAUGGGGUUAGUGAAGGUAAUGACAGCUCUCGUGCUUGUGCCUCAUUCUUUCCAAUGUGAAGGCUAUGAACUAUAGGUCUACCAGAGUAAAGGGGAAGGGAGGGGAGGGGAGAUGAGUACUAGGGUCCAACAAGGGCAAGGUCUCCACCACUAGUCGCCUACAUGUGCAAUCGUAUGCACCACGAGAACUAGGUAACUGUUAGAGGAGGGUCGUGGACAAAGCGAAGGCACAAUUAGGCGACUAAGAGCUUGGUGAAGGGUGACAGCCAACAAGGAUUAAAUGGUUAUUUUAAUAAAAUUAAUACUCUAUCAGAAUUUUUUGAAGUUGGGGUAAAAUUUUAUAAAAGUUAGUGAUUUUUUUUUUAUAAUUUAUCAUAUAUAUAUAUAUAUAUUAUUCUUAGUUGAUGAUCAAUGUAAUGGUACUGAGAUUCCAAAUAAAUUAGUUACCUAUAAAAAUAUUAUAUAUCCUAAAUUACUUUUACGCUUAUAAUUUUAAAUUGAAGUUUAGAUAUAGUAGUCAAAUUGUCAAUGACAAUGGACAUUUUAGGGAUUUAAAAUUUUAUUUUAAAUUUAUUAGUAAGCAUGAUUAUUUGUUAUAUAUGAAGGAUUAUAAUAUUUGAAGGGAUAUUUAAUAUGCAAAAUUUAAAUUGCUACUAUUUCCAAAAUUUUAAAAUUAUAUAUGCGACUUCUCCAAUGAAUAUUAUGAAUUGAACAGAAAUAUUAUGAAUUGUUCUCUUUGUUGCAUUAGACAUUUAACUAUGAUAACACACCACGAUAUGCAGCACCUCAAAGCCGAAAUCGAUUCCUCCUAACUAAUCAACAAUAUCAACUCUAUCAAAGUGACUCAUUGAGGACUUUAAACCUAUGUCUCAUUUUGUCCAUUUUAAUCAUUUUGAGAUAUCUAUAAAUCUUGUAGCUCAUGAUCACUCUAAUUUUUAUAGGACGAAUAUUUAUGCCCAUUUUUUGUCUAUCUUUGAGGCCUCUUGACUCCUUUCUUUUUAGCUCUGGGUUAAGGUAAUAUAGCUUAUUUCCUUUAAACAAAAUAUGAUAACACAUCAAUUAAAAUAUUAUCUAAACAUUGUUAAAUAUAGCACUUAAUUCCACCGUGGCACCAACCUAAAAAUGCUUCAUGACACAAAAGGAUUUUGACUUGAUUGAAAUUCUCCCUCUCUUGGUAUUUACUCUAAAUUUAAUUUUAGUUAAUCUCCAUUAGUAAAUAAAAGCUGAUUAUUAGAUGAAAUUCUAAUUAUAUUACUAUCCCUUGAAAACUAUCUCUGGUGGCAAAAAUAUUAGAUAUAUCUGAAGUAUUAUAUAUUUUCUAUGUAUUAUUUUGAAACUUUACAAGGAUGUAAUUGUAAAAACGCAUAGCAUUAGUAGGUAAAUAGUAUAUGGUACGCACACAUGCAUGUAUAUGGAUCAAUUUUCUAUGAUUUUUUAAGAAAAUAAUCAUAUUUUAAAUAUUUUUUAAUUUAUACUUUUUUUUUGUAAAUAGUACCCCCUAAUUUGAAAGUACCUAUAGAUUAUUUUUUUCAUCUUUUACAAUGUGUUUGUUUGUUAUAGUAUUUUUGGCUUAUUAAAGUAUUUUGAUUUUCUGAAUAAAAACACUAUAAAAUUUACUUUAAAGUAUAAUAAAUGAGUCAAAUAAAAUUAAAAUAUAAUAAAAAUCAUUUGAUAUAUCAUUCUACGAUUAAAUAUGUAUUUAUAAUGAAUUAGGAACAAUAUUAUCUAAGUAAAAAACUAAAAAUUGACUUUUUAUAAUAUUGUAGUCACCACAAUAAAAAUACCAUAAAUGAGCUAAAUAAAAAUACUAUAAUAGUUUAUAAUUAAUAAAAAAUAUAUUAAAAAAAUUAAUGGAAAAUUUUCUUGAGGGGUAUUUUGAGUGUUUUCUAAAUUAAUAAUAUUUUUUGGAAAAAAAAAUUAAAGAGGUAACGAUUAAGAAAAUAAUCAAAAUGUGAGUAUUUUAUAAGUAAAUCGUUCUUUUUUUCUUAACCUUCGUUUUUAAUCUUCUUUUGUACCUUCGUAAUGAUUGGAGACAAAGUGAGGACCACCGACCCAUACUUGCCACUUAUGAGGCGGGUAGGGAUCAGUUUAGUUGCUCCAUAAAACCCCGAAGCCGCAGAUUCCCUGCAGAGGCGGAAUCCAACCCUUACGUCUUCUUCAACUCCGAGACCGAAACAGCGAGCAUGGAGAGGCGCAGCGGAAGAGCAAGCUUCAACGGCAGCCUCUACCCAAUGACCCACCUCGGUGAGCCCCUCGCCUCCUCGUACCUCGGCCACGAAACUCCCCGCGCCACCCACGAUCACCGCAUCGGCCGCCGUGUCGAUGGCACCGAGCUCAACGUCUUCGACGCGGAGCGGUACUUCCGCGAGGGAGACGAUGCGGCCGCCAAACAGACCGGUAGGCAUGAGUUCACGGCCUCCUCCGUCGACGGCUUCGAGCGAAACGGCCACGGCCGGAGUGAUUCGUGCCUGGACACGCCGACCGCGUCCUCCGAGGCUAGCUGGAACAGCAAAUCCGGCCUCCUCUACAAGCCGCAGGAUUCUGCAGCGGUCACCUUGAGAGCGUCCCCCGUAAGAGAUCCGAGGAGGCCGCGGGCCUCCGGCUCCCGCUGGCUCUUCUGUCGCAGCUGCCCCUGCUCCGGGGAGAAGUCCGUCGACGUCGAGGAGAGGCACUUCGAAACGAAGAGCCCGGCUCGCUCGUCUAUGGAGUCGGAUGCCACUAUAACCGCGAAGAAACAGAGCUAUCGAACAGGGGAGGUGCGUCUCAGUAGCAUCCCAGAGAGAGUGGCGGCCGAAGAACCCAAGAACGAAUUCGAUGUCGAGGAAGUGACGAAGGUGAAGAUUACUCCGGGAAACUGGGGUAAAGAUCGGAGCUUUUUCCACGUUGCGAAUCGGUUUUCGCCGGAAAAGACCAUUCCGACCGAAAUUGGCCACCGUAUAAUGAACCCCGGGAAGUCGUUAACUGACUCAUCCGGCUUCUCCUUCCCGAUCCUCAGUCCACCAUCCUCGAACCUCGCCGAAGAGCCACCGCGGGAUUCGCUGGAAGUCUUCCGACCAACCGAUGAGUCGACGAAGAUGACGAAGAAACCGUCGGAGUUCCAACGGCGUGCGACGGUGCUGCCGUUUCCUGCCGACCGAGACAGCCCCAGCUUCACCUACCCGGCGAGCCCAAAGCCUCAGCCGGAGGAUGACGCGGCGAGCGACGAAAGCUCGGACCUUUUCGAGAUCCAGAGCCUGUCGACCCAGAUGACGUACCGCCACCGUGAUUCCCUCGACGAGCUCGAAGGACGCCGCUUCGUUGGCAGCGGCGCGGCGGCCGGGAUCCUCCAGCUCCGUCGG